GUCGAGGGGUAACAGAGGAGCUUGCUCUUGCUGACGACCGGCGCACGGGUGCGUAACGCGUAUACAAUCUGCCUUACACUAAGGGAUAGCCCAGAGAAAUUUGGAUUAACACCUUAUAGUUUAUUUUUAUGGCAUCAUUUAAAUAAUAAAGUUUACGGUGUAAGAUGAGUAUGCGUCCCAUUAGUUUGUUGGUAAGGUAACGGCUUACCAAGACUACGAUGGGUAGGGGCCCUGAGAGGGGGAUCCCCCACACUGGUACUGAGACACGGACCAGACUCCUACGGGAGGCAGCAGUGAGGAAUAUUGGACAAUGGAGGAGACUCUGAUCCAGCCAUGCCGCGUGCAGGAAGACGGUCCUAUGGAUUGUAAACUGCUUUUAUACAGGAAGAAUAAGGACUACGUGUAGUCUGGUGACGGUACUGUAAGAAUAAGGACCGGCUAACUCCGUGCCAGCAGCCGCGGUAAUACGGAGGGUCCGAGCGUUAUCCGGAAUUAUUGGGUUUAAAGGGUCCGUAGGCGGGCUGUUAAGUCAGGGGUGAAAGUUUGCAGCUCAACUGUAGAAUUGCCUUUGAUACUGAUGGUCUUGAAUUAUUGUGAAGUGGUUAGAAUAUGUAGUGUAGCGGUGAAAUGCAUAGAUAUUACAUAGAAUACCGAUUGCGAAGGCAGAUCACUAACAAUUGAUUGACGCUGAUGGACGAAAGCGUGGGUAGCGAACAGGAUUAGAUACCCUGGUAGUCCACGCCGUAAACGAUGGAUACUAGCUGUUUGGAUUUCGAUCUGAGCGGCCAAGCGAAAGUGAUAAGUAUCCCACCUGGGGAGUACGUUCGCAAGAAUGAAACUCA
rnacentral:rRNA from 2 species